UACGAAGGGGGCUAGCGUUGCUCGGAUUCAUUGGGCGUAAAGGGCGCGUAGGCGGCGGGGUCAGUCGGGUGUGAAAUCUUGGGGCUUAACCCCGAAACGGCACUCGAAACUGCCCGGCUGGAGGGCCGGAGAGGAGAUCGGAAUUCACGGUGUAGCAGUGAAAUGCGUAGAGAUCGUGAGGAAGACCCGUGGCGAAGGCGGAUCUCUGGACGGCUAACUGACGCUGAGGCGCGAAGGCCAGGGGAGCAAACGGG
rnacentral:rRNA from 1 species